rnacentral:snoRNA from 7 species
AGCACAAGUGAUGACUAACAAAGGGACUUAAUACUGAAACAUCUGGGAUUGAAAUGCAGUAUGCUGAUGUGC